rnacentral:rRNA from 1 species
GACGAACGCUGGCGGCGUGCUUAACACAUGCAAGUCGAACGGAAAGGCCCUGCUUUUGUGGGGUGCUCGAGUGGCGAACGGGUGAGUAACACGUGAGUAACCUGCCCUUGACUUUGGGAUAACUUCAGGAAACUGGGGCUAAUACCGGAUAGGAGCUCCUGCUGCAUGGGGGGGGUUGGAAAGUUUCGGCGUUUGGGGAUGGACUCGCGGCUUAUCAGCUUGUUGGUGGGGUAGUGGCUUACCAAGGCUUUGGCGGGUAGCCGGCCUGAGAGGGUGACCGGCCACAUUGGGACUGAGAUACGGCCCAGACUCCUACGGGAGGCAGCAGUGGGGAAUAUUGCACAAUGGGCGGAAGCCUGAUGCAGCAACGCCGCGUGCGGGAUGACGGCCUUCGGGUUGUAAACCGCUUUCGCCUGUGACGAAGCGUGAGUGACGGUAAUGGGUAAAGAAGCACCGGCUAACUACGUG